CAUUAAAACACCGUUUCUCGUAUGAUCCCUGAAGUUAAGCAAUGUCGUGCCUGGUCAGUGCCUAGAUGGGUGGCUGCUUGGGAAUACGAGGUGA